rnacentral:rRNA from 1 species
CCAUCAUGCCGCGUGUGUGAAGAAGGCCUUCGGGUUGUAAAGCACUUUUGUCAGGAACGAAACGGUGGGGGCUAAUAUCCUCUGCUAAUGACGGUACCUGAAGAAUAAGCACCGGCUAACUACGUGCCAGCAGCCGCGGUAAUACGUAGGGUGCGAGCGUUAAUCGGAAUUACUGGGCGUAAAGCGUGCGCAGGCGGUUGUGCAAGACAGAUGUGAAAUCUCCGGGCUUAACCUGGGAAUUGCAUUUGUGACUGCACGGCUAGAGUGUGUCAGAGGGGGGUAGAAUUCCACGUGUAGCAGUGAAAUGCGUAGAUAUGUGGAGGAAUACCGAUGGCGAAGGCAGCCCCCUGGGAUAACACUGACGCUCAUGCACGAAAGCGUGGGGAGCAAACAGGAUUAGAUACCCUGGUAGUCCACGCCCUAAACGAUGUCUACUAGUUGUCGGGUCUUAAUUGACUUGGUAACGCAGCUAACGCGUGAAGUAGACCGCCUGGGGAGUACGGUCGCAAGAUUAAAACUCAAAGGAAUUGACGGGGACCCGCACAAGCGGUGGAUGAUGUGGAUUAAUUCGAUGCAACGCGAAAAACCUUACCUACCCUUGACAUGUACGGAACCCUGCUGAGAGGUGGGGGUGCUCGAAAGAG